UACGUAGGGUGCAAGCGUUGUCCGGAAUUAUUGGGCGUAGAGAGCUCGUAGGCGGUUUGUCGCGUCUGCUGUGAAAAUCCAGGGCUUAACCCUGGACCUGCAGUGGGUACGGGCAGACUGGAGUGCGGUAGGGGAGAUCGGAAUUCCUGGUGUAGCGGUGAAAUGCGCAGAUAUCAGGAGGAACACCGGUGGCGAAGGCGGAUCUCUGGGCCGUAACUGACGCUGAGGAGCGAAAGCAUGGGGAGCGAACAGG
rnacentral:rRNA from 1 species